GAGCGUAGCUUCCUUGUCGUGUGGCCUCAGUCCUUCGCCGUCCCUCGCCGUCCUUCGCCAUCGCACGCCACCGCACCCCAUCUCUCGAAAUCUGCAGACAUCUUGAUUUUUCCCACGCUGUCUGUCAGGUCUCCGCCGCCACUCGACGCCAGGGCGCCGGGCCUUGUGGGCUGUGCUGCACCUCGGACGGCUUCGCACCAGCCAGCGCCCUCUCUCUCCUGCAGCACUCUGAUCUGCACCCCCUGAGGGGCUUCCACUGUCCGCGGGGUGAGAAUGCCCCUGGGAGUGUCACAUGACUGCCGCCCCAUGUGUGUGAGAGGCGUCCUCUGGGAGAGCAUGGAUCCUGAGGUCCCAGGAUUGUCAGCUGACCUCUGUCCUGUGUGCCCAGUGGCCCCAGGUGACGUGUCUUCAAGAAGAGGCUGAGCUGCGGUGCUUGUAAGGGUCUCAUUCUGUCACCCAGGCUGGAGUGCAGUGGUGCAAUGAUGGCUCACUGCAGCCUCGACCUGGGCUCAAGUGAUCCUCCACCUCAGCUUCCUGAGUAGCUGGGACCACAGAGUCAUGUGCUGUUCCUGGGGCUUGGAUGAUGUAGGGGAAGCAAGGUGAAAGUGGUAUCCCGUGGUUCCACGUUCUGUCCUGCUGUGGGGCUGUCCCUCACAUGCUUUCAGUGGCUGUUGCAGAGGAAGAGCCUCCGGAAAUCUGCGUCUCAGCCUUAGAUCCAAGGACAGUCCAAGGAAGUCCUAAGACCAUGGAGUUGGUGAUCUGGGAUCUGGGUUUGCUGAUAUUUCUCACCGUGAAUCUCUUGGUGGUGUUUGUGGGCACGAGAGGGGCAGAGAAUGGAGAGUGAGGCUACCACAUGAAGCGUCACCAGAGCUGCUCCCUGCUGCCUGCUCAGAGCACCCCGGAUCCACUGUUCAAUCUGCACAAGAUUCGGGGUCCAGACAUGGGAGACUUCAGCUGCCUCAGAGGACCGUGGACAGGGAAGGCCAGCCUCGCAUCCCUCUGUCCAUGCCUGGAAUGACUUUAAUAACCAAGAGUUUUAUUUUUGAAUUUGUAGCUGUCGUUCACUUUUUACCCACCCAUUCAAUAAACCUUACAGAAUUGC
rnacentral:lncRNA from 10 species